AUUUCCCUUGUAUUUUUUCUCCACCAACUGAGUAACUUUUGUAUUUUUGGCAAGAAGAAAAGGUCUGCUGUCUGAUGCAAACCGCUUCAACCUUAUACUUAUGAUGGGUGAUCACUUCUUUCAGACCCGUAUAUGAUGUCCUGACUGCAACCAUGCUUGCCCUGUGUCUCGGGUGUGCGUCUUGUCUCCGGCAGCUUUGCGCGACAGCCCACCAAAUAUACAGUAUCACCAAUCCUGAGUAAUCAGGCUAGUGCAGUCUAAAUUAUGCAAGUACCCAGCUGGAUCACUGAUGGUUAUAGACAGUCGAUCUCGGCAUUUCCAUUUACCAGUGGUCGAAUAGAUGGAAAGCCCUGGAUCCGCGAAAUACCGUCAAAAUCAUAAAUAUCUGCUCGGAGAUAUUGUCACUCGACGGUUAUUGUGUAUUCGCCGUGCCGUUGUAGUAUAGGAGAUUGAGAAAAAACUGCAACAUGAUUCGAUCGUGAAUCCGAAAAAUCUCGAUUUUUAAUGUCUGGGACAUCUUCCAGAAGCAACGCUGUAUAUUCCCAAACGAACAUUUAACGAACAUUCUUCGUUUUCCGUCUUUCGGUUGUACCCAUUAAGUCUCGUUUUAAUGCAAUGCGUUCGCUCCGACGGUCUAGAUCAGUUGGAAACCCGUGGUUGAUUUUUCCUUUAAUACCACAGUGAGGGGGGAGUGCAUUCUUCUGCAACAUCAGCAACACUUUGAUGAGAGCCGAAACACCGGAUGCAGACCUCCCAUGUCCAAUAUUGGAUUUGACGGACCCUAGAUAUAGACUCUUGUCUCGCUGGCGGCCAUAAUCCCAAACGAAUGUAUCUAAAACUGAUCACAUUUCUACGGCAUCGCCGUUUGGGUUCCAGGGAUAGAAUAGUAACAAUACUUCAAGCAAUCAGUCCCUGCAUUUCUAUGUAGCUAAUGCCAUGCCCUAUAAAUAAACCUCACUUAAGGGCUUUUGGAAUGAUGACUGAGUAUUGGGGGUUGGAUGGACUCCUUCGGAUUCCGAACUCCUAGUCGGUUUCGAGAUGGUUGAAAGUAAUGAAUGGUGAGAAGUGCGCCGUAUGCAAUCUGGCGAGUGUGGUAGAAGAUUCCUCGUGGCUCAUGGUACAUGAUAGAAUUUGCAUUAAAUUGAAAUUCAUGUAACUAGCAGCUACUCAAUAACAGAGAAAAGACUUCAAACCCCAAUCCACGCAUCCCACCACUAUCGCUUAAUGAAUUGCGACUUCGAUUUUCCCAGGAAAUACCAAAGCAACAACAGUAUUUAAAUCAUCAACUUCGCUGAGUUAAAAAAAAAAAAAAAAAGAAAGAAAGAAAAAAAGAGAAAAAUUUCUCUUCUACCCCUAUCGUGUAUCACCGCGUGUUCUUACACACUCAUUUUACCAUAGAUGAAGGGUGUUUGAGACGAU
rnacentral:sRNA from 2 species